AAAUGUGUUUUUUAAAUAUUUGUCUAGUAGGUUUCCUCGAGAAGAAAGCCCCC
rnacentral:snRNA from 1 species